AAUACGUUCCCGGGCCUUGUACACACCGCCCGUCAAGCCAUGGAAGCUGGGAGUACCUGAAGUCUGUAACCGAAAGGAGCGGCCUAGGGUAAAACCAGUGACUGGGGCU
rnacentral:rRNA from 1 species